rnacentral:rRNA from 1 species
GACGAACGCUGGCGGCGUGCUUAACACAUGCAAGUCGAACGGAAAGGCCCUGCUUUUGUGGGGUGCUCGAGUGGCGAACGGGUGAGUAACACGUGAGUAACCUGCCCUUGACUUUGGGAUAACUUCAGGAGACUGGGGCUAAUACCGGAUAGGAGCUCCUGCUGCAUGGUGGGGGUUGGAAAGUUUCGGCGGUUGGGGAUGGACUCGCGGCUUAUCAGCUUGUUGGUGGGGUAGUGGCUUACCAAGGCUUUGACGGGUAGCCGGCCUGAGAGGGUGACCGGCCUCAUUGGGACUGAGAUACGGCCCAGACUCCUACGGGAGGCAGCAGUGGGGAAUAUUGCACAAUGGGCGGAAGCCUGAUGCAGCAACGCCGCGUGCGGGAUGACGGCCUUCGGGUUGUAAACCGCUUUCGCCUGUGACGAAGCGUGAGUGACGGUAAUGGGUAAAGAAGCACCGGCUAACUACGUG